rnacentral:lncRNA from 1 species
CUUUUUUUUUUUUUCUCUGUUAGAUAACGAUUUCUUCUCUAGGCUUAGAUUGGCCAGGAGGAUUUUCUGACAAGUUGUUCUACCGUACCCAUUGCAGGACUGUGUGCUUAAGUAUUCAGAACUGAUAAUAAGAGUAACUCGAAGAGGAACAGAAGGAAACUGGAGAAAUCUGAAAAGCCAAUUAGAGGGCACACUGUUUACUAAGUCUCUGGAUAGUGGCUGCUGGACGAGACUAGGCAAGUUGCUUGACUUCUGGGCUCUUGUCAAGGUUGGGAAUACUAAUGACAGUACUGAAGCAAUUUUAUUGUUGAUGACUAUUACUACAGAAGAAUAUUAUCAGUGUUGGAUGGGAGAUUGGAAUUUUAAUGGAUGUUUUAUAAAUGUGGACAUUACAUGUUUGAAAAUUAGGAAACAAACUAGAUGAAACACUUUUAUGAUGUUGUUCCCCAGCUCAAGAAUAUACAAUGGCUCCCUAUCACAGGAAUCAACUCAAACGCCUUAUCUUAGCAUCCAAUGUUCUUUACAGUUUGUCCCCACCUAACCUAUCCACUUCAAUUCUUUGCCUUUUGGGAUAAUUGGGCUAGUUUCUUCUAGCUUACAUUCUCUAAACAUUUCGUACACAUUCCCAACUCCAAGCAUUUGCUCAUGCUAUAACCAUUCCUAAAAUGCUCUUCCCACUCCUUUCUACCUUCAACAACUAACUUUUAUGCUUGUAUCCUCAGGGCCUAGAAUAAGGCCUAGCACAUAUACUUUUAAUCAAUGCUCAUUGAAUGAAAUAAAAUUCAGGAGUGUUUUAAUCGACUUAUAUUU